rnacentral:rRNA from 1 species
UACGUAGGGUGCGAGCGUUAAUCGGAAUUACUGGGCGUAAAGCGUGCGCAGGCGGUUCGUUAUGUCUGAUGUGAAAGCCCCGGGCUCAACCUGGGAACUGCAUUGGAAACUAGCGGGCUGGAGUGUGGCAGAGGGGGGUGGAAUUCCACGUGUAGCAGUGAAAUGCGUAGAGAUGUGGAGGAACACCGAUGGCGAAGGCAGCCCCCUGGGCUAACACUGACGCUCAUGCACGAAAGCGUGGGGAGCAAACAGG